rnacentral:rRNA from 1 species
CGCACAAGCGGUGGAUGAUGUGGCUUAAUUCGAUGCAACGCGGAAAACCUUACCCACCUUUGACAUGUACGGAAGUCGCUAGAGAUAGCUUCGUGCUCGAAAGAGAACCGUAACACAGGUGCUGCAUGGCUGUCGUCAGCUCGUGUCGUGAGAUGUUGGGUUAAGUCCCGCAACGAGCGCAACCCUUGUCAUUAGUUGCUACAUUCAGUUGGGCACUCUAAUGAGACUGCCGGUGACAAACCGGAGGAAGGUGGGGAUGACGUCAAGUCCUCAUGGCCCUUAUAGGUGGGGCUACACACGUCAUACAAUGGAUGGUACAAAGGGUCGCCAACCCGCGAGGGGGAGCCAAUCCCAUAAAACCAUUCGUAGUCCGGAUCGCAGUCUGCAACUCGACUGCGUGAAGUCGGAAUCGCUAGUAAUCGUGGAUCAGAAUGUCACGGUGAAUACGUUCCCGGGUCUUGUACACACCGCCCGUCACACCAUGGGAGCGGUUCUGCC